rnacentral:lncRNA from 1 species
GUGAAGGCUAUAAACCUGUCUCAGAUCAGCGAUUUGUGUACGUGCGAGGGGGAAAAGAGCGAGGAAAUUCAGUUUUCUAAUCUGUUCAUUUCCUGGCUCCUAGCGCUCUGUAACUUCCCAAUUGCGGAUUUCGUUCCUCCGUGGUUGGUGUCAGUGCGUGCUGCUCCAUGCCCUGCCGCGGGACCGUGCCGCUGGGGGGCUGCGGGCUGCCCCUGCCCUACGGCAGCGCCCCGGGGUACCCGGCGGGGGCGAGGGCGGGCACAGCGCGGAGCCGGAGAGCCCGGGGAGCUCGCAGGAGCGUCGCCCGCUGGCUUCGGGCUUCCCAUUAGAACACCACCACAAAUAGGAAUCAGUCAUCGUUCAAGAGCAUUCAUCUUCCCGACUUUUUUACGGCCUCGUAAUUGCCCCCUCCCUGACAGGCGGAUUUAUGCCCGGCCCGGUGAGGGGAGCUCUGCCGCUCGCUUAGCACCGCCGGCUCCGGCUGGGGGACACGGAGCGGCUGCAGCCCAACCUCCCCCCCUCCCCCCGGCCGCCUUCUGCCGAAUUGUCGCCUCCAACAGCCCCCCGCGCCGCUCUCUCUGUCGCUCCCGCUGGGCCGGGGCUUGCUGCCGGGCUCUCAGCUGCCUCCGGUCCCGGGACGAGGAGCGGGCCUCACUCCCAUCACCUGAAUUUUCCGUGCAAAACUCACGGACCGUCCCGACGCUGUUCGAAAGGGAAACGCUUUCCCUCUCCCUUCCUCUUUCCCUUUCCCCGCUUCCCAGGCAGGCUGCCUCCCGCGGCUCCCGCUCUCCCAGCGGCACCCCCCGGCCCCGUGCCCUUUUCUCGCCGAGGUCGGGCUGUUUGACCCCCCGCGGGGCACGGCAGGGCCCCUCCGGCGGGCAGCGCCCGGGGGGAGGUGAUGGCCUAGAAACCGCGCGGCGCUCCGCGGCGGUGCGGCUGUGCCGCUCCCCUCCCGCUGCCCGCGGCUCUCCCUCUCCUCCCGCGGCGGUCGCGGAGCAGCGGGGG